UCUAUUUUUUUUUUAAAGAAUGCAAGUUCUUGGUUGCAACACCCAUGUGAGCUCGCAGGUACCUUGAGGGGGUUUAGCGACAAUCAUCAGCUUCCCACAGUAAGAAAUGUUUUCCGCAGUAGGACAUGAAUAUUGUUUCGAUUCCCUAACAGAACAUUAAAAAUCAACGUAUGAAAGACGUAAACCAUGUUUCAGGCUGAAGCGGUGAACUCAAGCUGCAAAACCUUGGAAAUACGGAACGUUUGUCGCGAAGAAAACUGUUUUUAUUUCAAAUUUACACAGGCCACCCCUACAGAUGGUUUAAAGAGAGAUCAAGAAAAAAAAAAUGGUUGAAGAGAAUGGCUUGCCCACAAUUAGUGAUUUUAUACUAUUGCUCAUUUUUUCUAGUUAGAUAUCCUGAGUUUACUCAUUUUAGGAACCAUGGCCAUUAGGUUUAUCAUAAGAUCCGGCUUUCAAUAAAAUGUUAUCUUUCGGGUAUAUUAUAGCAUUUCCCUCCUGGCUUAACAUUCAUGCUAAUAGUCUUAAUGCUAUGUUUUAUGUUCUGACUUGACGUUUAAUGAUGAUUAUCCCGAAAUUAUCUUUGUUGUGAAUGAAGAUAAUAGGGAGAAUCGGAGACUCUCUCCUCAGAUAUCUUUUGUAUAUAUAUAGCUCAAGAGCCGAAAGAAGGGCGUAAAAUGGACUUGUAAGAUAGAGAAAGACAUUACUGGAAAUGUACUAUCCUCUCUCAUCAAUCUUCAACAAAACUUGAUGUUAUAAGCCAGUGGUGGAAGCCAUAUUUCUGGAAGCAGUAUUCCUGCAACAGCUUAACGAUGAUAUUAUCUUGGUUUUAGUAGAUGAUUGUAUAUCCUCAUGAACCAUUUCUCGUUGAUGCCUAUUGAACAG
rnacentral:lncRNA from 1 species